rnacentral:lncRNA from 1 species
UUUUUUUUUUCUUUUUUUUUAAAUAUUAUUCAAUUUAAUUAGGCAUUAAGUUUCUUCGUGAUCGAAGUACGAUAUAUGUAAUUGCGUAUGAGUUACAACGAAUUAUUAUAGUACCAUUAGAAAGGACUUUGCAAGAGAUCUGUGGGAUUAGAUCGACCUAUUUCUGCCAGUACGUCUGCACUCCAUUAUUCAAUAUCAUAGAUAUAACAAUCGAAUGUAUUUGAAAAUGAAAUAAAAAAAAAGAAGAAGAAGAAGAAAAAGAAACAAUCAAGAGAAACAUGUACGGAUAAGAAAAUCUGACGAUGUCGGGAGGCCAAUGAUACGUUUGAAUUCGUCCUCGUUCGUAAGAUUAAAAUUUUGCGAGCGUAGACGGUAACUAAUAGUCGGCGACGGAUCACGAGGACAAAUUGUGACUGGUGCAAUGAUAAAAGAGACUGGGAGCUUACUCGAUUACACCGACGUCAGGUCGGUUGCGAGUUGAACUUGGACCUCCCGUAGCAACAGGAACGAGAACGCUCGACGAAAGAAUUGUUAGACGACGAAAGAAGUCCCUUCGAAAUAGCUGCCAACGAUUUGAAACAUCGAGAUAUAGAAAAUAUCAUGAGUGUGGAAUGAAAUGAUCCACGAAACAAUUCAUGAAAGAGGAAAGUAAAUGAUAAUCGUCAACAGAAUAAUAUUAGAUUCUACAAUUAAAACUGGAUAUUUAACAACAGCAACAACAACAACGGAAGAUUAUCUUAAAAACAGGAAUAAUAUUUGAUAAGUUUAAAACUGGAUAUUUAACAACAACAACAACAAUAACAAAAAUAAAGGAUAAAUAAGGGAACGUAGCAAGAAGAAGAUGAUCGGGGGCCCAUUUUUCGAUUGGUCCCUCUCGAUUAGCCCUCACGAUUGGCCCAUCGACAUUCGACCGACGACGACGACGACGAAAUUUCGACGUCGAGCUUUAAUAGAAAGACAACGACUCGUCGGGGAAUUAUGCGGCGUUGGGCGCAUAAUCAUGAGCGUAGUCUGAUCGAGACAGUUGCUCUGAUAUGACCCCCUGCGAGAGUGGUCUCAAUUUUAAAGUGCGACCGAUAGACGACAGAGAACGAUGAGAAAGAGAAAGAGAAAGAAAAAGAGAGAAAGAGAGAGAGAGAGAGAGAGAGAGAGAGAGCUUGUAAUGGAGCCGUCGCACGCGUGAUUGGCGUAACAAGUCGGGCCUAGAAUCGAAUCCGACUUGUAUACAUAUUACGCCUACAUUCACAUAUAUAUCGUAGCCUGGAUCUCGAGAUGUGCACUCAAGAAAGAAGAAUAAGAAUAAGAAGAAGAAACUAAAGAUAAUAUAUUAAAAGAAGAAAAUAAUAUUUAUUGUAUCGUUAGUAAAUAUGUGAUAAGUAUGCCGCGAGCUUAUGCCCCCUGCGAGAGUGUAGUGUCGAUUUCAAAGUACAACCGACAAUCAUUCACGUGAUAUAUGCACAAAUCUGUUUCACACGCAUAAGUAUCUUCUAAUAUAUGUAUAUAUAUAUAUAUAUAUGUUAACUCGUUAAUGAUAUUUUUCUCUAUCGGUUUCUAUAACCAGCUGCACGACCGAGUUUCUCUCGUAAUAUAGUCAUUCUUUUGAUUGCUCAUUAGUCUUCUCUUCUCCAAAAAAUCUCGACAAGCUGAUAGGGAGAAUGAUUGACGGUUGCAAAAUGAAAAUACAAACAAUUACCUACUUAUUUGACUGGAGUCUCACGAAAAUGCGAAAAUGAGAUUGUUUUCAAUUGUAUGGGAAUAUUUAAUUUUUGGAUUAUUAUUUGCGUAUACUUAUAUAUCCUAUAUGUAAGAUUGUUCUCUUUAAACUUCAAUGAAUGAUAAGUCCUAGGAAAAAAAAAAGAAAUUAAAAUAAAAUGAAGUAACGUUCUUCACUCUUCUCGGGUGCGAAGUACGUCGAUUCGUGUUUGUUGACCUGGCAAUUACGCGGUCACUGCCACGGGAUCAUUUAAAAGGAAUAGAAAAUAUCUUAUGUAUCAGCGAAUCGCGGUGGCAGAGGUCCUUUUAAAACAUUACAUUGAUAAAAAUGAAAAAUACUUUUUCUCUAGCGUGCUAACUAAUCUAUUGACCUUAAGAUUUUUGGCGUAUCGGUGAUAGUGCUUUGCUUUUAUUGCGUUGACUCAAUAUUACCAUCGUUGGCGUUUACUAUACAUAGAUAAAAGAGAAAGAAAGAAAGAAAGAAAAAAAAACGUGAAGUAAAGGACCCUCUCCACCCACAUACCAGUGCAAUCUAAUUUCUUUCCUCUUAAAAGAGAAAAAGAAGAAUGUCUUCCCUGUUAAUAGAAGAAGUCAAGUACGGUGGGGUCAAAGAGAAGUAGAAGAAGAAGAAGAAGAAGAAGAAGAAGAUGUAUAUUCGACAAUCAUGAACGAUUAGUCAGACACGAGAGUGCAUCGCGUGAAACACGUGGGACAUUAUACGUCCUUGGUGUCGUUCCCCUUUCUUCAACUUCUACUUCUACUUCUUCUUCUUCUUAUUCAUUUUUAUUUUCAUCCUUCGAUCUCUCUCUCUCUCUCUCUCUCUUUCAUACAACUGAACAGAGAGACAAACGAAAGAAGGAACAAAUACAGUGGCGUUAAGACAACAUUUUGCAAGUGCGAUAUCAUUCUCUCUCUUACACAUGACAUAAUAAAAGUAAACCUAACCGAGGUACAAUUUCACUGCACUGGUAGUCGCAAUUACAUCUAUUAAUAGAUAACCAAGAAGACGCAGACGCAUACACUAAGGUUUAAUCUCGAUUGCACGUUACUUUACCAUGAGAACAAUAAAACUUCUUCUUCUUCUUGGUGUGUUCGACGAGUUGGCCUUCUCUACGGCAACCAACUCGCACACACCGAUCAGUCGUCAAGAAUUUCACGAUAGGAGGAGGGAUGAGAUAUCGUGACUUUCUCGUCACGAAUUACUCGCAAAGUAAAAAAAGAAAAAAAAAAAAGAAAAAUUGUUCUCUCUUCUAAGUUGUCGUCGUCCCGUUAGAUCAUCGCCCAUUGAAUUUCACAACGAUCGAAGGAUGUGUGUUCCUAUUGUUCCGAGGAUUCUUAAGAGAUAAGUUGAAUUUUUCAUUCGUAUCUAACAGUUAAUAAUAAUAAUAAUAAUUCUUCUUCUUCCAUUCCCGCGUGAUUUAAUAAUUAUCUUUCUUACUUAACUAGAUCGAAUCUUUCAAACGCAUAAUCCUCGUGCACUCUCAAUCGUUUCUUUUAUUUAACAGGUAUGCUUCGCGGAAAUCGUUAAAACGGCCGGACCAGAUACGAAACGCACAAGGCUUCAUUUGAAUUGUAAAUUUAUUCAUAAACUAGAUAAUUGGUGCGAUCGUUAGAUCUCGUACAAAAUCCUACGGAUUUAUUAUUAUUCACAUUAUAGUGUUCCUCUUCAUUGGAUCAUCUGAAAAUGUUCAUAUUUAUGGAGUAGGGUAAGCGUGUUUCAUGAUUUUCAAUGAUAAAUUCUCUUUUUCGUAUUUGAAAGAAGAAGGAUCGAGUGAAUUGUUUUAGAAACAAUUCAUUCGUUAAAUAAAACUUUGACUCGAUGAUAGUGAAACAAAAAUAUACGUAAUCAAGCUUGUUUACAGUUUUCAUCCGUCUAUGGUUUCUAUGAAUAGACGAGGGAGUCUAAUGGACUUCAUUUUUCAUUCAAGAUAUCAGAAUUGGUACAAUCGUUGGAAAGAAACGAGGGCAUGCUCUCCUUGUUUAUCCCCUCUCUCAUGGCACUCUCGGGAGUCUGUAAAAUCUGGAACAAGAACCGCGUGGCGAGACGAACCGGUACCAGUGCCACCGAGAGAGUCGGUAGCAACGGAACUCUUCUGAAGACACGAUCUGGUCUAUCUCACGUCGGUCCCACGUCUUUCAUCUUCUUUCAAAAUAUAUAUAAAGAA